AUGUAAUAGAUCGUAUGUGCAAUUAUCCGCUUAGCCAAAAGAAAUGAAGGGAAUGUCAUGUUGGAUUUCUUCGGUGAGGAGGUACGUACGUCCGUGGAAUAUAAAAUAUCUAUCUUAAAUGUCUUUGUCCGUUGCCAAUUGAUUUCGAGUUGGAUGCUUUGAUGCGCCUUGUUUUCCUCCUCUUUUGAAUGAAUAGCAAUCACUCAAAUUAAUUCGGGCAUGGUGCAGGUUUUGUCGAAAUUAUUAGUUUCAGGAGCUGUUGCAGGGUUUCUUGGGUCGUCAGAGCUGGUGAAAGCUUGGGAAGAGUAUGGCGUGAAUAGAGAAGACAUAAACUCGUUUACGAACAAGACAUAUGCAGCAAAUGGACUUGUCCUCCUUAGUUUCGUCUUCAGUUUUGUAUUAUCGGUCCUCUCUUCAUAUGCACUCGCCAGGAAUAUAUCACUUUCAGAGACAUAACUAUCAGUUUGCUGUUCAUUGAUCAAAUUCUUAAUUACCUUUUUUUGUUUAAAUCGUCAUCUGUGAUGUGUGAUUCUCUCUCUAGUAGUUUGUUUUGCUCUUUUGGAAUUUUUACGAGUUGUGUUAGGAAUUAUGUGGAUCAAAGACGUUCUGAUCAGCCCAUAUUGGACAAAUGAUUGUUCAAUAUUGAACAUAAUUA
rnacentral:lncRNA from 1 species